ACACUCGCUGCUCCGCUGUCCCUAUGCCGGUCGUUCGAUCAAGGCUUCCGUCCCUUGUGAAAAUUUCGGGAAUUUCAUGCGAGGGAUGGCUUCGUCGUGGUCGUGGCGCAUCGUUUGCUGGUGCCGGGGAUUGUCUUUACUCUUCGCUACUCUCGCAUGAUCACUCCUGUUGCACCGACGCUGUCUGCACAUUUUCUAUCACUCUUAGCAGAAACUUUGUGCUGGAUGUGACGAGGUUCGGAAAUGACGAAGCUCACAAUCGUCAUUUUCUCUCUUGCGCCAUUUCUGCGUUUGGUGAAAAUCAACAUGUUGAUGCAGUUUCUGCUGAUGUUUCAGAACCACGGGUCUUGAACUUCAGUGAAUAACAUAUUGCUUGGAGUGUCUCACUCCGGUGUCAAUUGGAGUGUUCGGGAGGGAUAUUUAACUGCCUUUUUUCUCUCUUUUUGAUUGAUUGAUAUUCUUGUUUCCGUAGUAGCAUCCAGCUUCCUGGCUUCAACUCGCGUGAGGUGAUUAUCUUCGUCCAAUAUUUAGCUGUAGAGAGGCUUGCAGGUGGAUAUCAUCUGAAUUCAUGAAACUAUUAUCUUAGGUUCAACUCUCGCAAGAACAUUAGAUUAACGUAGCUUUUCAGAUUAAUGAACCUCACGACAUAAUCCAAGAAAAUUGGUUCAUUUUUCCGGGUGUGUUCGACUGUAGUUCUGAAAGCGAAAGGUUGAAUGUCAACUUAAUAAUUUCCUAAAUCAACUACACUGGCUCCGUUUUUAUUUCUGAGUUGAGUAGUUCGUUUGUAUAUUGACAAUAUCUCACCUCAAACAGUACGUAUAUGAGUAUAUGUAGUCAGUGCUCUAAAGCUUAUCGCAGUAUUAGGAAACAUUUCAAUUGGAUUCUAUUUCAGUCUCAACUAGGUACUUCAUGCGGUUGGUAUUGCGCUUCGUCUGCAGUUUGGUUGUUAGCAAUGUAUUCGACUGGAUGGGGGUUAUGCGUGUAGCAUAUAUUGUGCACGAUUGGCCGUUUCUUGGUAUUAGUUAUGAUUAUAGCGCUUGUUCGACCACAGUUAGGAGAGCGACCUUGGUACUUUUCCACUUUUCAGGAUCUUGUCUUCCUCCAUUAUCGAGUCGUCAACUUCUUGCUAUAAGACCAAAUCGCUGCAGCAGCUAAUGCUGUUCAUGGUGCUGGAUAAUAUUUUUAUUUCCUGAGGUUCUGGGGAGUACCUAGUUUGUCUACCAGGUAAAAUGGAGCAAAGGACUUACGCUGUCUUCUAUAACCGUCAACAUUAUUAGUUGAGGCAGUGAUUGGAAAAUGACUGCAGAUUUUGUUAGGUUUUCUUAUAAGUUAUGAUUCUGCCACGUUUCAAAAAUCAUGGGAGAAACAUUACUCUAUGAUAUCGUCAGUCGUGGGAAGCUUUUGAGAUGAAUACCGCUGCUACUAACCUUAAUCUUGAAAUUGCAACUGGCUGCAAUAUUGAGCAAUUUGCACGGUAUUUCAGAAGUGAUCAUUAAGGUUAAGGUUAUUUCAGUGAUUUUCUUAAAAGACGCCCUCUUGAUUCUUGAGAUUUUCAUUUAUAGUUUUGGUAGGUUAUCUUUCUGAAUAUUACCAGUUUUCAAGAUUUUUCAUAAGGUCAAAUGCCGACGCUGGAGGUACCUACAUUAGUAUUUUCGUUUACUGGUGUUCUCGACUAUAUCUGAGGAUUUAUUAGGCAUUUGAUAGAUAUAUCUGGUGCAGGUUCUUAAGCAAACUCCAGAGCAAUUCUUUGGGCAUCUUAUAGUGGGUGGCGGAAUCUCCGACUCCACUGAUCCUAAUGGGCGGUUCGUUAUAUUUGGAAGUGACAAAAUAUUUUGCCGAUAUGGUGCUGUUUAUGCUGCUGAGGGGUGUCUCCGCUCAGGGGUGAUCGUUCGAACCUUUCUCCACUUUGUUCAGGUCAGGGAAGAGCAGCUUGGAACAGAUUCCCUAUGUUUCUAAAAUCAGACCACUUGUUACUGAAUCUCGUAGGUGACACAUAAACCGUUGAAGAUCUUCAUUCGUGUGUCCUCAACAGAAAGAAGAAAAAAAUGUAUGUGCGGAAUGCAAAGCCAGUUUGAGUCUUUCAAUUGCUCAUGCGCCUUCUUCAAUUCUGCUUCUUGCUGACACAAUUAAUUGUUUCAAGAUUGUCGAUGCAGUCGCGUCAAAGGCAAGGAUUCGACAUCAACCUUGUGAAGCUCGUAUCCGACGUUGGUACCAACAUAGUGAUAGUAAGCGGUGGUGUGGUUGUUUGAAGCACUUUUCAGGGCUUCAGCUUCUAUCAAACUAGGGCUGCAGCUGCGUUGGCUGCCGAAAGAUGCCACAGAAAGGACGUAAGUUGAUUGGAGUUUUUAAAGAGUGAGCACUGACUUUCCAAGCUAAGCAUGGAUUGAUUCAGAAGUGUUUGUGUAGGGAAAUAUCAAGCUCAAAGAAUACUGUAAGGUUGCUGACAGAUGUUACUUAUUGCUGUCAGAGCUGUUUCCCGGUAUGUUCUGCCUUCGUUAGACUAGAUUAUAAUUGAUGUUUUGCAUUGAUGGUAAGGUAUCUCACCAAUGUGUCACGUUAGGAAACAAUGCUCAUUAAAGUGAUACUCGGUAUACAUGAGGAAGUACACCCACUUAAUGUUGGACUUUCCCUUUUAUAUUUGACUGUCAACAAUGUUUGGGAAA